CACCAGAUAAGACAGCUGAAUUGAUAGUCGGGCUGAAGACUCUACUUGACUAGCUGAGAGGAGGUGCAUGGCCGUCGUCAGUUCGUACUGUGAAGCAUCCUGUUAAGUCAGGCAACGAGCGAGACCCACGCCAACAGUUGCCAGCUCGUCCUCCGGGAUGGUGGGGACACUGCUGGGACCGCCUCUGCUAAAGAGGAGGAAGGAAUGGGCAACGGUAGGUCAGCAUGCCCCGAAUUAUCUGGGCUACACGCGGGCUACAAUGGGUGGGACAAUGGGUAUCGACACCGAAAGGUGAAGGCAAUCUCCUAAACCCAUCCUUAGUUCGGAUUGUGGGCUGCAACUCGCCCACAUGAAGCUGGAAUCUGUAGUAAUCGCGUUUCAACAGAACGCGGUGAAUACGUCCCUGCUCCUU
rnacentral:rRNA from 1 species